rnacentral:lncRNA from 1 species
UUGGUCAAAUGUAAUCCGUUGAAGUUGCGUGGUUCAAUAACAAAAUGCAAAAAUGAGAAGACAUACAAAAAAAAUAGAUAAUAAUGAAACUAAUACUGGAGAGAUCAACUAAAAAUACCUCACCACCAAUGCAAAUGUCGAAGAACUCCCCUCCUUCCGACUAAGGCAAAACCUAGUAGUUCUGCCUUAGUACCCUCAUCACCUCAGCUCCUCAAUAUCCA